AGCCUAAACCAGUAAGUGAUUAUUGGCAUGGCGAAGAAGUCCAGUAACGACUAAAAAACCCAUCAUAUGGGGUUGUCGUUACUGGCCGUAUCGGGAAACUGGUACGGAGGGGUUCGCCCCUC
rnacentral:sRNA from 1 species